rnacentral:rRNA from 1 species
UAUCAGUCAUGCAUAGCAUAUCAAUAAGCGGAGGAAAAGAAACUAACAAGGAUUCCCUUAGUAACGGCGAGUGAAGCGGGAAGAGCUCAAAUUUGAAAUCUUCAAGGUUUUACCUUGACGAAUUGUAGUUUAUAGAAGUGUUUUCUGUUGGAGUUUUGGUAAAAGUUCUUUGGAAUAGGACAUCAUAGAGGGUGAGAAUCCCGUAUUUGACCAUUAUCUUCCAGCUGUGUGAUACACUUUCAAAGAGUCGGAUUGUUUGGGAAUGCAGUCCAAAAUGGGUGGUAAAUUUCAUCUAAAGCUAAAUAUUGGCGAGAGACCGAUAGCGAACAAGUACCGUGAGGGAAAGAUGAAAAGAACUUUGAAAAGAGAGUUAAACAGUACGUGAAAUUGUCAAAAGGGAAGCGUUUGACACCAGUGUUGUUUUUCCGAAAAUCAAUUACGAAUGUUUUAGUUUUUGAGAAGUUAUGGACUUCAUCGGCUUGCUUCUCUCUUUAUGAAACUUUCUUAAUGCACUUUUCGGUUAACAAGUCAACAUCAAUUUCUUUUGUUGUAAAAGGGUAUGAGGAAGGUGGCUUUCUUUUCGGAGAAGGUGUUUAUAGCCUUGUGCCUCUGCAAUCGGAGAGAUUGAGGUCUGCAGCGUAGAUCCUUCGGGGUUAGGAUACAUUUGUGCUAAGUUAUAGCUUUUCAUAGACAACUUGUUGACUAUGUUUAGUCUUGUAGCUUACUCGCUGACGCUAUUUUACCUACGCUUAGGAUGUUGAUCUCUCACAGUCGAGC